UGCCUCUGUUUGUCUGUUGUUUUCUGUUGUUCUCCAGAGGCUGGAGGAGGACUGUCCUGCCAUGCCCCAUGCCUGUAGCUGUUCUCAGGACAGUAAAGGACCUCCCGGACCCACAGGACCUCCCGGAGGUGCUGGUAUCAGAGGGGCCAGGGGAGAUCGAGGGGAGCCAGGCAGUGUGGGGCCUCAAGGACUAGUUGGUGAUAAAGGUCCUCCUGGACCACAGGGCCCCCCUGGUCCUCAAGGGCCUAGUGGACAUUCCAUCCAGGGACCACCGGUAA